AUUGAACGCUGGCGGCACGCCUAAUACAUGCAAGUCGAGCGGUAACACUUCGGGUGACGAGCGGCGGACGGCAGAGUAACGCGUAGGAAUGUACCCCAAACUGAGGGAUAACUGCCCGAAAGGGUAGCUAAUACCGCAUGUGAUCUUCGGAUUAAAGCUUUUAGCGGUUUGGGAACGGCCUGCGUAUGAUUAGCUUGUUGGUGAGGUAAUGGCUCACCAAGGCGACGAUCAUUAGCUGGUCUGAGAGGAUGAUCAGCCUGACUGGGACUGAGACACGGCCCAGACUCCUACGGGAGGCAGCAGUAGGGAAUUUUCCACAAUGGGCGAAAGCCUGAUGGAGCAACGCCGCGUGCAGGAUGAAUGCCUUCGGGUUGUAAACUGCUUUUGUUUGUGACGAUUAUGACGGUAACAAGCGAAUAAGGGUCUGCUAACUACGUGCCAGCCGCCGCAGUAA
rnacentral:rRNA from 1 species